CCUGGGCUGUGACGCGCGCGCCGGAGCGGGCUCCGAUGGUUCUCGAAGGCCCGCGGCGCCCCGUGCUGCAGGUUACCUAGGGUAUGAAUUAAUACAGACUUGGAAACUGAAAGAACUUAGAAUCAGCAUUUUGAGAGCAGAAGCUCGCGCAUGCUGUGAUUUUCCAAUAAACUGCUCUCACAAUGUCAAAAUGCAAUUCAGACAGGAGCAACCCAGAGGUCUCAGACAUUAAAACGAUGCGUGUUGAAAUAGUUGGCGACCUGUACAAUUGUGAUCAGUUGUCAACUGAGAAAAACAGCUGUGUUCCUGGUCUUCUAUCUUUUUUUGUCAGCUGUGCUAGAACAAAAAUGCAAUGAGAGAAACACUGGAUGAAUGAAAAGCCCUGCUUUGCAGCCCCUCAGCAUGGCAGGCCUGCAGCUCCUGACCCCUGCUUCCUCACCAAUGGGUCCUUUCUUUGGACUGCCAUGGCAACAAGAGGCGAUUCAUGAUAACAUUUAUACGCCAAGAAAAUAUCAGGUUGAACUGCUGGAAGCAGCUCUGGAUCGUAACACCAUCGUGUGUUUGAACACUGGCUCAGGGAAGACGUUCAUCGCAGUGCUGCUCACUAAAGAGCUGUCCUAUCAGAUCAGGGGGGACUUCCACGGAGAUGGAAAGAGGACGGUGUUCUUGGUCAACUCUGCAAACCAGGUUGCUCAGCAAGUGUCAGCUGUCAGAACUCAUUCAGACCUCAAGGUCGGGGAGUACUCAGACCUAGAAGUAAAUGCGUCCUGGACGAAGGAGAGAUGGAACCAAGAGUUUGCUAAGCACCAGGUUCUUAUCAUGACUUGCUAUGUCGCCUUGAGUGUUCUGAAGAAUGGUUACUUAUCGCUGUCAGACAUUAACCUUUUGGUGUUUGAUGAGUGUCAUCUUGCGAUCCUAGACCACCCCUAUCGAGAAAUUAUGAAGCUCUGUGAAAAUUGUCCAUCAUGCCCUCGCAUUUUGGGACUAACUGCUUCCAUUUUAAAUGGGAAAUGUGAUCCAGAGGAAUUGGAAGAAAAGAUUCAGAAACUGGAGAAGAUUCUUAAGAGUAACGCUGAAACUGCAACUGACCUGGUGGUCUUAGACAGAUCCACUUCUCAGCCGUGUGAGAUCGUGGUAGACUGUGGACCAUUCACUGACAGAAGCGGCCUCUAUGAACGACUGCUGGUGGAGUUAGAAGAAGCACUUAACUUUAUCAAUGACUGUAAUAUAUCUGUACAUUCGAAAGAAAGAGAUUCUACUUUAAUUUCUAAACAGAUCCUAUCAGACUGUCGGGCGGUACUGGUAGUUCUGGGACCUUGGUGUGCAGAUAAAGUCGCUGGCAUGAUGGUAAGGGAAUUGCAGAAAUACAUCAAACACGAGCAAGAGGAGCUGCACAGGAAGUUCUUACUGUUUACAGACACUUUCCUGAGGAAGAUACACGCACUGUGUGAAGAGCACUUCUCACCUGCCUCACUGGACCUGAAGUUUGUAACUCCGAAAGUAGUAAAACUGCUGGAAAUCUUGCGCAAAUAUAAACCAUAUGAGCGGCAGCAGUUUGAGAGCGUGGAGUGGUAUAAUAACAGGAAUCAGGACAAUUAUGUGUCUUGGAGUGAUUCUGAAGAUGAUGAUGAAGAUGAAGAAAUUGAGGAGAAAGAGAAGCCAGAGACAAAUUUUCCUUCUCCAUUUACCAAUAUUUUAUGUGGAAUUAUUUUUGUGGAAAGAAGAUACACAGCAGUUGUCUUAAACAGAUUGAUAAAGGAAGCAGGCAAGCAGGACCCAGAGCUGGCUUACAUCAGCAGCAACUUUAUAACUGGACACGGCAUUGGGAAGAGCCAGCCUCGGAGCAAACAGAUGGAAGCGGAGUUCCGCAAGCAGGAGGAGGUACUUCGGAAAUUUCGAGCGCAUGAGACCAACCUGCUCAUUGCCACGAGUGUGGUGGAGGAGGGCGUCGAUAUUCCAAAAUGCAACUUGGUGGUUCGUUUUGAUUUGCCUACAGAGUAUCGAUCCUAUGUUCAAUCUAAAGGAAGAGCAAGGGCGCCAAUCUCUAAUUAUGUAAUGUUAGCAGAUACAGACAAAAUAGAAAGUUUUGAAGAAGAUCUUAAAACUUACAAAGCGAUUGAAAAGAUCCUGAGAAACAAGUGCUCCACGUCGGUGGACACUGGUGAGGCCGAUGUUGAUCCUGUCGUGGACGACGAUGAUGUUUUCCCGCCGUAUGUGCUGAGGCCCGAUGACGGCGGCCCGCGGGUCACGAUCAACACGGCCAUCGGACACAUCAACAGAUACUGUGCCAGAUUACCAAGUGAUCCGUUCACUCACCUGGCUCCCAAAUGCAGGACCCGAGAGUUGCCUGAUGGUACCUUUUAUUCAACUCUGUAUCUGCCAAUUAACUCGCCUCUGCGAGCCUCCAUUGUUGGUCCACCAAUGAGUUGUGUACGGUUGGCUGAAAGAGUUGUAGCUCUCAUUUGCUGUGAAAAACUGCACAAAAUUGGUGAACUGGAUGAACAUUUGAUGCCAGUUGGGAAAGAGACUGUCAAAUAUGAAGAGGAGCUCGAUUUACACGAUGAAGAAGAAACCAGCGUUCCAGGAAGACCAGGUUCCACUAAGCGGAGGCAGUGCUACCCGAAAGCAAUUCCAGAAUGUUUGAGGGAUAGUUAUCCCAAACCCGAUCAGCCCUGCUACCUGUAUGUGAUAGGAAUGGUUUUAACUACCCCUUUACCUGAUGAACUGAACUUCAGACGGCGGAAGCUCUAUCCCCCUGAAGAUACCACGAGAUGCUUUGGAAUACUGACAGCCAAGCCCAUACCUCAGAUUCCACACUUCCCCGUGUACACGCGCUCUGGAGAAGUCACCAUAUCCAUCGAGCUGAAGAAGUCUGGCUUCACGUUGUCUCUGCAAAUGCUUGAGUUGAUCACAAGGCUGCACCAGUAUAUUUUCUCACAUAUCCUUCGGCUUGAGAAGCCCGCGCUAGAAUUCAAGCCUACAGACGCUGACUCGGCCUACUGUGUCCUACCUCUGAAUGUCGUUAAUGACUCCCGCACUUUGGACAUUGACUUUAAAUUCAUGGAAGAUAUUGAGAAAUCUGAAGCUCGCAUAGGCAUUCCCAGCACAAAGUAUUCAAAAGAAGCGCCCUUUGUUUUUAAACUAGAAGAUUACCAAGAUGCAGUUAUCAUUCCAAGAUACCGCAAUUUUGAUCAACCUCAUCGAUUUUAUGUAGCUGAUGUGUAUACUGAUCUUACCCCUCUCAGUAAAUUUCCUUCCCCCGAGUAUGAAACUUUUGCAGAAUAUUACAAAACAAAGUAUAACCUUGACCUGACCAAUCUCAACCAGCCCCUGCUGGAUGUGGACCACACAUCUUCAAGACUUAACCUUUUGACACCUCGACAUUUGAAUCAGAAGGGGAAAGCUCUUCCUCUGAGCAGUGCUGAAAAGAGGAAAGCCAAGUGGGAGAGUCUGCAGAACAAACAGAUCCUGGUCCCGGAGCUCUGUGCUAUCCACCCCAUCCCUGCAUCGCUGUGGAGAAAAGCAGUUUGUCUCCCCAGCAUUCUCUAUCGCCUUCACUGCCUUUUGACUGCAGAGGAGCUCCGAGCCCAGACAGCCAGCGAUGCUGGCGUGGGGGUCAGAUCACUUCCUGCGGAUUUUAGAUACCCUAACUUAGACUUCGGGUGGAAAAAAUCUAUCGACAGCAAAUCCUUCAUCUCCGUCUCUAACUCCUCUUCGGCGGGCAGUGAGCAUUACUGUAAGCACAGCACAACUGUAGGCCCUGAAAAUGCUGCACAUCAAGGUGCUACUCGAACCUCUUCUCUAGAAAACCACGACCAAAUGUCUGUGAGCUGCAGAACGCCACUCACGGAGGCACCGGGGAAGCCCCAGAGGGAAGGCCCAGCGGAUCUGAGGGCAGCCAGUGCGCUCUCCUGCAGUCGAAGUCUUGCCAAUGGCAGUUACGAGUUCGCUGCCAGAGACUUUUGCCAAGGAGAUCAGCUGAAUUACUACAUGCAGGAAAUACCUGUGCAACCAGCUACCUCAUAUCCCACUCAGAAUUUAUACAGUCGUGAGAACCAGCCCAAGCCCAGCGAUGAAUGUACCCUACCGAGUCGUAAAUACCUUGACGGAAAUGCUAACAAAUCUACCUCAGCUGGAAGUCCCACAGCGGCCGCCACGCCUGGUACGACGGACACUGUCAGGGCCCUCCAGGGCAGCAUGGAUUCCGCGCAGAGCCCUCCUGUCGGAUACUCCUCAAAAACUCUCGGCCCCAAUCCUGGACUGGUUCUUCAGGCUUUGACUCUGUCCAAUGCUAGUGAUGGGUUUAACCUGGAGCGGCUCGAGAUGCUUGGUGACUCCUUUCUAAAGCACGCCAUCACCACCUAUCUCUUUUGCACUUACCCCGAUGCUCACGAGGGCCGCCUUUCCUAUAUGAGAAGCAAAAAGGUCAGCAACUGUAACCUGUACCGCCUCGGGAAGAAGCAGGGGCUGCCCAGCCGCAUGGUGGUGUCCAUCUUUGACCCCCCCGUGAACUGGCUUCCUCCCGGCUACGUGGUAAAUCAAGACAAAAGUAACACAGAUAAAUGGGACAAAGAUGAAAUGACAAAAGACUGCGUGUUGGCUAAUGGCAAACUGGACGAGGACUGCGAGGAGGAAGAGGAGGAGGAGGAGGAGGAGGAAGAGGAGGAGGAGAACUUGGUGUGGAGGGCUCCCAAGGAGGACGCCGAUUACGAAGAUGAUUUCCUGGAGUACGAUCAGGAGCACAUCAAGUUUAUAGACAACAUGCUGAUGGGAUCAGGAGCUUUUGUAAAGAAAAUUUCUCUUUCUCCUUUCUCCACCGCUGACUCUGCGUACGAAUGGAAGAUGCCCAGGAAGCCCUCCUCAGGCGCUGUGCCGUUCUCGUCGGACUUGGAGGAUUUUGACUACAGCUCUUGGGAUGCCAUGUGCUAUCUGGAUCCUAGCAAAGCUGUCGAAGAGGACGACUUCGUGGUGGGCUUCUGGAAUCCGUCGGAAGAAAACUGUGGAGCUGACGCGGGGAAGCAGUCCAUCUCCUACGACUUGCACACCGAGCAGUGCAUUGCCGACAAGAGCAUCGCGGACUGCGUGGAAGCCCUGCUGGGCUGCUACUUAACCAGCUGUGGCGAGAGGGCUGCUCAGCUCUUCCUGUGCUCGCUGGGGCUGAAGGUGCUCCCGGUCAUGAAGAGGGCCGACCGGGAGAAGGCCGCGUGCCCCGCUCGGGAGAACUUCAACAGCCAACACAGGCACCUUCCAGGGAGCGGCGCCACAGCCGCAGGAGCCAGCUCCCGAGGCCCCUCGGUGUUGAGAGACCUGGAGUACGGGUGUCUGAAGAUCCCGCCGAGAUGCAUGUUUGACCAUCCAGACGCAGAUAAAACGCUGACUCACCUUAUAUCGGGUUUCGAGAAUUUCGAAAAGAAAAUCAACUACAGAUUCCGGAAUAAGGCUUACCUGCUGCAGGCUUUCACACACGCCUCCUACCACUACAACACCAUCACCGAUUGUUACCAGCGCUUGGAGUUCCUGGGUGACGCGAUUCUGGACUACCUCAUAACCAAGCACCUUUACGAAGACCCGCGGCAGCACUCCCCGGGGGUCCUCACCGACCUGCGCUCCGCCCUGGUCAACAACACCAUCUUCGCGUCGCUGGCCGUGAAGUACGACUACCACAAGUACUUCAAAGCGGUGUCCCCCGAGCUCUUCCACGUCAUCGAUGACUUCGUGCAGUUCCAGCUGGAGAAGAAUGAAAUGCAAGGCAUGGAUUCGGAGCUUAGGAGAUCUGAGGAGGAUGAAGAGAAAGAGGAGGACAUUGAAGUCCCAAAGGCCAUGGGGGAUAUAUUUGAGUCGCUGGCCGGGGCCAUUUACAUGGACAGCGGGAUGUCGCUGGAGGUGGUGUGGCAGGUGUACUACCCGAUGAUGCGGCCCCUCAUAGAAAAGUUUUCUGCAAAUGUGCCCCGUUCCCCUGUGCGAGAAUUGCUUGAAAUGGAACCGGAAACUGCCAAAUUUAGCCCGGCUGAGAGAACGUACGACGGGAAGGUCAGAGUGACCGUGGAAGUGGUGGGAAAAGGGAAGUUUAAAGGCGUGGGCCGCAGCUACAGGAUCGCCAAGUCGGCCGCCGCGAGACGCGCCCUGCGAAGCCUCAAAGCCAAUCAACCUCAGCUGUGGGUCAGUCUUGCUCUCCCGCCAACAUCCCAGUAGAGGUUUGCUGCAGUUUGCCUGUUAAUGAUGCUUGAAGUGUGAGAAAGUGGAGCGGAGCUGUCUCGCACGAGGAUUUUCCAUCCGUGGUCUGAAGAGAAAAACAGCUGAGUUGAAUUGAGACUCGCGGUCUGGAGCAUCCUGUGGCCCCGGUUAGUGAGUUAGGAAAUCAGAGUCAGGCGGGCGAGGGUGCGGCCGCUCCUGCGCUCUGUGCUGCGGUUGCUACACCUGGGUCCCCGCUCCAGCUCUGGCGCUUUGCCUCGGUCAAUCCAGAGUGGCUCCCUGUGACCUCGCCUCACAGCCCUGUGCCGGCCAGCAGAGAGCCAGCAGGUGGCGUGGGACGGCUCCGCGCGCCCUCCACAGCACGGCCAGAACCCGCUUCCCGCAGUCCCGAGGGCGCUGCGGCCCGAGCGGCUUUCCCCGCUGUUCCGUUCAUGUCGCGCACAUAAGCAUUGCACUUGGUACCAGGCUUUACCUCAUUGCAAGGAAAAAACGCUCAACUGAGAGGAGGAAUUAGAGUUUGGCCUUGCUGCUGUUUGAGUUCCCGGAUUUGGAAAAAGAUGAUUAUAAUGCCUGCGACGUGUCGUGUGCUUGCACAACUUAUAGGUCAUUUUUGUCUGUGGCAUUUUUACUGUUUGUGAAAGUGUAGCAAUGACUUGUUAACUCCUAAUUGUGUUUCUUAAAAAUGUUUGUUGUAUUUCUUUCCUUUCUCCUUUUACCUUAUGUGAAGUGAUUGCGUUUAGAACACCCUCUAACACUCCUGUAGUUAGAUUUACAGUACUGGCAUUUUCACUUCCUCAGCAGGGGCUUGCCCUCAGAGAGCCAGAGGCUUGGUCUGGUUCUGUGGGCUCCGCUCGUAAGCAGAAGCCUCCCCCCAGCAGUCCGGUGGCGGCUGGCGAACCCCGAGAAUAAGCCCCCGCUGAGGCCCGGUUGAUUUAAAGCUUGCUCGCCGGCUCUGCAGCGGGGUCGGGUGCGCUCCCAGGCACCGAAGCCGGCAGACGGAGGCCCUGACGUCUUUGUCUGACUGCGUCUGGAGCCCCGGCCGUGUCCUCCGCGGCCCGCGGGAGAGAACCGGGCUGUGUUUAUUACCUGUGUGGUUAUUCUAAUUACAUUGAAAUAGGUAUAUUUUUCCAACCACUGAUUACUUUCCAGGAAUUUAAUUAUUUCCAAAUGAAUUUCUUUAUUUUAUAUUGUACAUGGAAAGUUUUAAAGAUAUGUUUAAGACCAAGAAUAUUAAAAUGAUUUUAAAGGUUGUUGGAGACACCAGUAGCAAUAUGUAGGGAAUAUGCAUUGAGACCGUUGUAUUUUCUACCAGCAGUGCAAAGGAUCUUUCGGAACUAACUUGUAAAUAGGUUUUGAUCAUUACCUGUCUUGUCGUUUAGUCCGUUUUUAUUUGGACCCCAACUGCAGACAGUUGCAGUGUUGUAGAUGUGCUCAGAGCUCACUUAGCAGCAGACUGUGUAGGCGAACAGGAAGCACGUUUCUGGCUUCUGUGCUGUAAAUAGAGUGGAGGAAAAUGACGAAAAUCCAGUCAAACUCACAUAUCACCGCGGCGGUGGGCGGCCGUCACGGCGGGCCGCGCCUGUGGGCAGGAGCCCCUCCACUUGUCUGUUCUGGUAAUAACUGUAGCCGAGUAAAUCUCCAAUAAAGUUAUGAUCUGUUCA